GAAUGGCUGAAUGCUGUGUACUUCCGUCAGUCAUCCACACAGCCAGAUGCCAUGCAAAGCAGUCUUCCUUUAAGGGGACUGGGACACUGGUUUCUAUGGUUUAUCACUACUAAGUACAAAC